CAGUCGACGGCAGCACGGGUGCUUGCACCUGGUGGCGAGUGGCGAACGGUGAGUAAUGUAUCGGAACGUAUCCAAUAAUGGGGGAUAACUAAUCGAAAGGUUGGCUAAUACCGCAUACGCCCUACGGGGGAAAGCAGGGGAUCUUCGGACCUUGCGUUAAUGGAGCGGCCGAUAUCUGAUUAGCUAGUUGGUGAGGUAAAGGCUCACCAAGGCGACGAUCAGUAGCUGGUCUGAGAGGACGACCAGCCACACUGGAACUGAGACACGGUCCAGACUCCUACGGGAGGCAGCAGUGGGGAAUUUUGGACAAUGGGGGCAACCCUGAUCCAGCCAUUCCGCGUGAGUGAAGAAGGCCUUCGGGUUGUAAAGCUCUUUCGCAAGGGAAGAAACGAUACAGUCUAGUAAACUGUGUUAAUGACGGUACCUUGAUAAGAAGCACCGGCUAACUACGUGCCAGCAGCCGCGGUAAUACGUAGGGUGCGAGCGUUAAUCGGAAUUACUGGGCGUAAAGCGUGCGCAGGCGGUUUUGAAAGUCAGAUGUGAAAUCCCCGGGCUCAACCUGGGAACUGCGUUUGAAACUCCAAAGCUAGAGUAUGGGAGAGGGGGGUAGAAUUCCACGUGUAGCAGUGAAAUGCGUAGAGAUGUGGAGGAAUACCAAUGGCGAAGGCAGCCCCCUGGCUUAAUACUGACGCUCAUGCACGAAAGCGUGGGGAGCAAACAGGAUUAGAUACCCUGGUAGUCCACGCCCUAAACGAUGUCUACUAGUUGUUGGGAGAGUAAAAUCUCUUAGUAACGCAGCUAACGCGUGAAGUAGACCGCCU
rnacentral:rRNA from 1 species